GAUGAACGCUGGCGGCGUGCCUAAUACAUGCAAGUCGAGCGAACAGACGAGGAGCUUGCUCCUCUGACGUUAGCGGCGGACGGGUGAGUAACACGUGGAUAACCUACCUAUAAGACUGGGAUAACUUCGGGAAACCGGAGCUAAUACCGGAUAACAUGUUGAACCGCAUGGUUUAACAGUGAAAGACGGUCUUGCUGUCACUUAUAGAUGGAUCCGCGCCGCAUUAGCUAGUUGGUAAGGUAACGGCUUACCAAGGCAACGAUGCGUAGCCGACCUGAGAGGGUGAUCGGCCACACUGGAACUGAGCCGCGGUCCAGACUCCUACGGGAGGCAGCAGUAGGGAAUCUUCCGCAAUGGGCGAAAGCCUGACGGAGCAACGCCGCGUGAGUGAAGAAGGUCUUCGGAUCGUGAAACUCUGUUAUUAGGGAAGAACAAAUGUGUAAGUAACUAUGCACGUCUUGACGGUACCUAAUCAGAAAGCCACGGCUAACUACGUG
rnacentral:rRNA from 1 species